UGAGGAAUAUUGGUCAAUGGACGCAAGUCUGAACCAGCCACGUAGCGUGCAGGAUGACGGCCCUAUGGGUUGUAAACUGCUUUUAUGCGGGGAUAAAGGAGUCCACGUGUGGAUUUUUGCAGGUACCGCAUGAAUAAGGACCGGCUAAUUCCGUGCCAGCAGCCGCGGUAAUACGGAAGGUCCGGGCGUUAUUCGGAUUUAUUGGGUUUAAAGGGAGCGUAGGCCGCGUUUUAAGCGUGUUGUGAAAUGUAGACGCCCAACGUCUGCAUCGCAGCGCGAACUGGGACACUUGAGUACGCGCAAGGGUGGCGGAAUUCGUCGUGUGGCGGUGAAAUGCUUAGAUAUGACGAGGAACACCGAUUGGGAAGGCAGCUGACGGGAGCGGCACUGACGCUUAAGCUCGAAGGUGCGGGUAUCAAACAGG
rnacentral:rRNA from 1 species